AGAGAGAGACAUGCGCGCAUAUCAAUAAGCGGAGGAAAAGAAACUAACUAGGAAUUCCCUCAGUAACGGCGAGUGGAGCGGGAAGAGCUCAAAUUUGAAAUCUUCAAGGUUCUACCUUGACGAAUUGUAGUUUAAAGAAGUGUUUUCUGUUGGAACUUUUGGUAAAAGUUCUUUGGAAAUAGGACAUCAAUAGAGGGUGAGAAUCCCGUAUUUGACCAUUAUUUUCAGCUUUGUGAUACACUUUCAAAGAGUCGGAUUGUUUGGGAAUGCAGUCCAAAAUGGGUGGUAAAUUUCAUCUAAAGCUAAAUACUGGCGAGAGACCGAUAGCGAACAAGUACCGUGAGGGAAAGAUGAAAAGAACUUUGAAAAGAGAGUUAAACAGUACGUGAAAUUGUCAAAAGGGAAGCGUUUGACACCAGUGUUGUUUUCUCGAAAAUCAAUUAAAAAAUGGAUUCAUGCUAGGUAGUAUUGACUUCAUCAGCUUUCUGCACUUAUUUUUGGUUCUUUUUUAAUGCACUUUUCGUUUAACAAGUCAACAUCAAUUUCUUUUGCUGUAAAAGGGUAAUAGGAAGGUGGCUUUCUUUUCGGAGAAAGUGUUUAUAGCCUUUGGCCUCUGCAAUCGGAGAGAUUGAGGUCUGCAGCGUAGAUCCUUCGGGGUUAGAUACAUUUGUGCUAAGUUAUAGCCUUUCAUAGACAACUUGUUGACUAUGAUCAGUCAUGUAGCUUACUCGCUUAUGUCUAUUUUACCUACGCUUAGGAUGUUGACAGCAGUAUAGACUGU
rnacentral:rRNA from 1 species